UUCUAUCUAUCUUUCAAAAGCAAUUUCAUAUUUGAUACGAGCGGGACCUUUGAUUUGAACCCUUCAACCGAAGAACUGUGAGAUUAUUUUCUUGAAAAAGGAAGGUUAAAAAUUGGGCUUCACCAGACUCCCCCAGUUCGCACUAGAUUUGAAAUUUAUUCUGUUUUGUCUUUUGUUUGUUUAACUUCAUUGGCAAUUGCUUCAAAAAUCACUCUCGGUUUCUGAGACUGAGUUUCACUGCAUAGGGAAUUCUUCGGGAUUUUACGCCAUUGGAGUACCUUCUUCUCAAAAUUGUCGAGUUUUUGGUUCGGACUAAAGGGUCGUUCUGGUUUAGUUAUUUGUCCUUAAUCCCACAAAAGAGCUUGAGAAAUCUAUAAGCAUUACAGAGCUCAGUUUUUGUUAGUUGCCUCUCAUAUAGUCGGUCUGUUUCGCUGGAAUGCCAUGGGGUUUGCCUUAUAGAAUUGAUUAUUUCUCCAUUUCUUCAUAUGGGGUCAGCACAAUUAGGAUUUUGAUGGCUCUGUGAAUGGCGACUUAGUUUGCCAAGUCGAUUUGGAACCCUAGAAAGUUCCGUAAUAUGCAGGGUUCAUCUAGCUCAAUGGCCCAGCCGGAGGCCAUUCUUGACUGGCUUCAGAAGGAAAUGGGGUAUCGCCCUCUAGGUUCAUAUAGCGCAUCGAGCAAAUCGCAGUUGCCAUCGGUAGAUGCCUUCCGCAAGGUUUGUCGAGGAAAUAUGAUACCCAUUUGGAAUUUUUUGAUCACUCGUGUUAAAUCGGAGAAGACGGUGGAGAAUAUUAGGAGAAACAUAAUGGUACAUGGUGGUGGUGGUGGUGGAGCAGGCGAGAGCAGUAGUGGAGGGUCAGCUAAUUCAGGGAAAGAAGAGGGCAGGGUGGUGAAAGGGAGGAGGAAGGAUAAAGUGGCUGCAGAGAGCCCAACUGUGGUUGAGACUCGAGAAGUGGCAUUGCAGGAGAGGGAAUUGGCGGCCAAGGAGGUGGAGAGACUGAGGAAUGCUGUUAAAAGGCAAAGGAAGGAUUUGAAAGCCAGAAUGUUGGAAGUAUCUAGAGAGGAGGCUGAGCGAAAAAGGAUGCUUGAUGAGCGAGCAAAUUACAGGCAUAAACAAGUAAUGUUGGAAGCUUAUGACCGACAGUGUGAUGAAGCAGAAAAAAUAUUUGAAGAAUACCACAAACGUCUACGGUUUUAUGUGAAUCAAGCAAGAGAAGCUCAAAGGUCAAGUGUGGAUUCUUCCGUUGAAGUGAUUAAUAACUUCAGUGCAAAUAUCGAGAGGGAAGCUGUUUAUUCAACUGUUAAAGGUAGUAAGUCAGCAGAUGAUGUGAUUCUUAUUGAGACUACUCGUGAGAGAAAUAUCAGAAAGGCUUGUGAAUCUCUUGCAUCCCUUAUGAUUGAAAAGAUACGUUCUUCGUUUCCUGCCUAUGAAGGCGGUGGUAUUCAUUUUAAUUCACAAUUAGAAGCUUCGAAAUUGGGUAUUGAUUUUGACGGGGAAAUACCUGAUGAGGUUAGAACUGUUAUUGUUAAUUGUCUGAAGCAUCCUCCUCAACUGCUUCAGGCAAUUACAUCGUACACUCUACGACUUAAAACUCUAGUUUCUAGAGAGGUGGAGAAAUUCGAUGUCAGAGCUGAUGCUGAAACCUUGAGAUACAAAUAUGAGAACAAUAGAGUUACAGAUGUCUCAUCUUCUGAUGCCAACUCACCGCUUCAUUAUGAACUGUAUGGUAAUGGCAAGAUAGGAGUUGACGUACCUUCUAAAGGAACACAGAAUCAACUUCUUGAAAGACAGAAAGCACACGUGCAACAAUUUUUGGCCACUGAAGAUGCAUUGAACAAAGCUGCUGAAGCUAGAGACAUAUGUCAAAAGCUAUUAAAUCGGUUACAUGGUAGCAGCGAUGUAAUUUCUUCUCAAUCGUUUGGUGUUGGAGGGACAUCACAAAAUGUUGGAGGUCUUAGACAAUUUGAGUUGGAAGUUUGGGCUAAAGAGAGAGAACUUGCUGGUUUGAGGGCUAGCUUGAAUACACUAAUGUCAGAAAUACAACGCUUGAAUAAGUUAUGUGCAGAAAGAAAAGAAGCUGAAGAUUCUUUGAGAAAGAAGUGGAAGAAGAUAGAGGAGUUUGAUGCGCGCAGAUCUGAACUUGAAACUAUAUAUACUGCUCUUCUGAAGGCUAAUACAGAUGCUGCAAUAUUCUGGAACCAGCAGCCUUUGGCUGCAAGAGAGUAUGCUUCAAGCACCAUCAUCCCUGCAUGCGUUGUUGUCUCUGAUAUUUCAAAUAGUGCGAAAGAGCUUAUUGAUAAUGAAGUUUCAGCCUUUUAUAGAAGUCCUGAUAAUACCAUUUUCAUGCUUCCAUCAACACCGCAGGCACUGUUAGAAUCCAUGGGUGUAAAUGUUACUUUAGGACCUGAUGCAGUUGCUGCUGCGGAGAAGAAUGCUGCCAUAUUGACUGCAAAAGCUGGUGCGAGGGAUCCAUCAGCAAUACCUUCUAUAUGUCGUGUUUCUGCUGCCCUUCAAUAUCCAACUGGUUUGGAGGGCUCAGAUGCUAGUUUAACAUCAGUUUUGGAAUCUCUGGAAUUCUGCUUGAAACUUCGAGGUUCUGAGGCCAGUGUGUUGGAAGAGUUAGCAAAAGCAAUCAAUUUGGUCCAUAUAAGGCAGGAUCUAGUUGAAAGUGGCCAUGCACUACUAAAACAUGCUCAUCGAGCUCAGACUGAUUAUGAAAGGACAACAAAAUAUUGCUUAAAUUUGGCCAUGGAGCAAGAGAAAUGUGUCACAGAGAAGUGGUUACCUGAACUUAGAACCGCAGUCGCGAGUGCUCAGAAGAGCUUGGAAGAUUGCAAAUAUGUCAGAGGAUUGCUUGAUGAGUGGUGGGAACAGCCAGCAUCAACUGUUGUUGAUUGGGUUACUGUUGACGGGCAAAAUGUUGCCGCUUGGCACAAUCAUGUAAAACAACUUCUUGCUUUUUAUGACAAGGAGCUCUUGUAGUACAGAAGCAUUGAAUUAUUGGUUCAAUUGAAGCUGAAUUGGUCAAAUCAUCCCCUUUGCUUGUAUUUCUUUGUACCACUCGUGUUAAAAUUCAUAACCACGUAAACAGCAAGCCCGGUCUGGUAAUGGCGGUGGGAAAUCUCCUGUGAUCUUAGUGACAAAAAGGUGUAUACCACCAGGGUGAAGAGUGCAAUGAUCAAUAUCUUUACCCAUUUCAUGGUUGGCGUGCAGCUAGGACUCCCUCCUUUCGUUACAGAAUCUGAAUGUCAUGUUUCUUCCAAUUGUGUGUUUCAAGAGACGUGCAGUCAAUCUAUGGCUUGAGUUUUUGCUGCUGGUGUUGUUUGUCUGGUGCUUAUGUUGUAUGUAAGGUUAGCAGCUUUACGUUUUGGUCUCUACCUUUAUGAAGUGUAAGGCCCAACUCGAAUUAUGUGGCAACUCUACAAUAUGCCCGAAUCACGAAGGCUAUAACUUUAGUGGGUGGUAGAUGCAAGGUAGCAACGGUUGUUGAAGCAGGUGAUGCUGUGAAUUUGAAUUCUCUUUUUGCCACUUUAUAUCAGUGACGACCAUGACAAAUAUGCAGAAUUUUUAAGUCUGACAAUAAAGAACUACUUUGUUAUUAGCUCUUUGAUGAAAUGGCAAAUCUUUUGAAUAUUUGCAUCGAAA